UACGUAGGGGGCUAGCGUUGUCCGGAAUCAUUGGGCGUAAAGCGCGUGUAGGCGGCCAUGUAGGUCCGUUGUGAAAACUCGAGGCUCAACCUCGAGACGCCGAUGGAAACCAUGUGGCUAGAGUCCGGAAGAGGAGAGUGGAAUUCCUGGUGUAGCGGUGAAAUGCGCAGAUAUCAGGAAGAACACCCGUGGCUAAGGCGGCUCUCUAGUACGGUACUGACGCUGAGACGCGAAAGCGUGGGGAGCAAACAGG
rnacentral:rRNA from 1 species